UGCAUCUUUACCAUUUGGGGGACCUAUC
rnacentral:piRNA from 1 species